rnacentral:tRNA from 1 species
GCCUGGGUGGCUCAGUCUGUUAAGCAUCUGACUUCAGCUCAGGUUAUGAUCUUACGGCUCGUGGGUUCAAGCCCAGCUCCGGGCU